GCGGUCGUGGCGGAAUGGCAGACGCGCUAUCUUGAGGGGGUAGUGAACAAUGUUCGUGUGGGUUCAAGUCCCAUCGACCGCA
rnacentral:tRNA from 1 species